CCUGGCUGUAAGGGAGUUCAGACAUAUCAUCGAUUUAAUAUAAGCAUGAGUGAUGGCGUAUGGGGGGCGUAAAACGGCCCAUGCGCUUUUCAAAAGCGGAUUUUUCUAACUGACCUCGGUGUUCUGGACAAGCGACUCGGCGGUGAGAUUAAUAGUGGCAGUUGGUGCUCGGCUGGCUUUCCUCCGCUGGGUCCCCAGAGCUUGACGACACGUCACACGGAAUCAGAAAAUGGAGCAGGUGCAUUGCACAAGUCUAGCUGCAGCCCUCCCCAUCGGCCCCCACCUCCAGCCUCACCUCAAGUUACAGAUAAGUGAGACUCAAGCAUAUGGGCCGUCCAUCACUGUUCCGGGCACUUCCUGUGGUCAUUCUGACACGUGUCUUACCAGUCCUCAGUUUCAUUCCCCCUCACAGCCAUGGGAGGGACCAGACACCAAAUGUCCUAGACGCUUGUCCUCGCUCAAAGGAGUCAAGUUGCCCAAAUGCUGUCUGAGAAAGAUGUGGAAUGAGAAAAAUAUGAUUUCUACUUAAAAAAUUGCUGUAAUAAAAAAAAAAAAAAAAAAACAUUAUUCUUCACUUGUGUACUAAUAGAGGCCAACUAUAGUAACCUUAUAAGUACUUUACAGAGUGCAGCUAAUGGAAGGCAGUUUCAAGGAAAAAAAAUCACACUGAAGCAAGAAAGGCUUUUAUUCAUUUGAGAAGUGGCAUUACCUUAAAGUUAAACAUACUUUCAAAAGUUUAACAUACAGUACAAAAUUUGUUAUCCUAUAUUAAAUAUUAGUUGGAGUUUGAUAUACCUUUUUACAAGUAGACAUCCGCAAAAAAAUAAUUACGUGUUAAAUAUUUCAAUUGUUAUGGUGGUUUCUUUUUGGUUCUGUGAAAACAGUUGAAAUAAAUUAAGAAAUGACCAAGGGAGCAUUAUUUGUGCAGAGAUUUUGCUUUCCCUGCAUGGAGUCAUUUUGAGGUAAUUUUGCCAAAAAGGUAGUUUCCACUUUUUUUCUUUUGGAGACAUCGCCAGAGAACAAACAAAUCACUUUAAAUGUAAUUUGUCCGCUUUUUAAUUGGAAAAAACCUAUGAUUAUCAUUUGAUGUCAGUUUUUCAAUCACUUCUAGAUAUUUGGAAUGUCUUGAGUGUGGAGUCUGUUCUUUAUCCCGGUUAUUUCGGCAUUAGUUAUUCAGCCAUGCUGCGGAGAGGCGGUCUUCAGGCUGAAGUGCUCGCAGUCCCCGAGAGAAUGAAGUUUUGUGGGCUCACAGCUCCACUAAAGCCUGGCUUUCGUCCACUUUCACUGGAGCCCAGGGAGGACUCGGUCCGACCCCGCAACCCUCAGCCCCACAGCUAAUAAAACGACACCCCCUGGCCAAACAGCAAAAACAGACAAGGUGAGUGGCACCGGCACCCAGCUCUAGCUUAACCACUGUGGUUCUGCCCCCUUUCCUCUCUCGCACCAAUCCCUCAUUCUGUGAAAAAUAUUAAAUGAUGGGCCUGACUGGCUUAUUACAGUGGUUAAAGUUUUAAAUUUUAGAGGAGCUUGUUGGUUCACAACUAAGUGGAAUCAUGGGCAAAUUAGACUGAUUAUCUGUAGGUUUUUACUUUAUUCAUUUUACAUAAUUGAAAUUGAAGCUCCUGUUGCACCAUUCAUUCAUAUUUUACUCAUCACUUUUUUGUCAUGUAUAUUUUUGAGAAAGUAGCAAUUUGGGCCCAACAGUGAAAUGGGUAAGAAAAUAGUCAGAAAGAGGCAAAAAAAAACAAACCUCAAAAUCUUCAGUGAGCGACUUCAGGGCCGAACCUUUUGCUUGAUAUCUCACCCACUGAUCCAUAGCUUCCCUGGUAGCCUCUUCAGCUGAGUCUGCUGCUUCUCAUAUGGUGCAGCCAACUAUACUUGCUCUUUGCCCUGAUCAGAUCCACAGAGGACUUUGCCAAGUGUUACAAACAGGUUGUGCUAAGGCUACAGUAUUGGCUCCAAGAACCUGAACCACAGGCCUUGUUGCAUUGUGGGAGGAGACCUAAGCAAGGUGGGACUUACAAACACCGUACAUGCAAAGAUGGGCCUGGAAUCAGGUCCAUGGCAGUGCCGCUUUCAGAAUCAUCAUGGUCCCCCGGGGUGCUGUGACUUACCCUGUUUCAUACUUCCCCAUCAGCUUGGUCUCUUUGCCAGCAUAGAGGAUAGAUGAUCUCUGAACUCUGGUUUCAGUCUCCUGCUUCUGCAUUUUUUUUCAAUUGUACAGUACACAUUUUUUAUUUUCCCAGGCUGUAGAUUCACGUCUGCCCAUCAGUUUUUGGAGAAAGCUUGUUGUUGUCCUUUGAUGAACGUCGGCAUCAUAAUAUUUUCAUGCUAAUGUCACGGACUAGAUGAGCAUAGGAAAACAAGUCUGUGUUUAUCAUAAACAGCAUUUGUGACUGAUUUACUGUAAUGCUAGAGACGUAGGCUCAAUAGUAGGCCAAUGACACAACGCUAAACUUUAUAAUAAUCCUCCUUGAUCUAUAAAUACAAAUACCAUGGUAUAGGCCAGAGUUCUGGACAUUUUUUAUGGUGCCUCUUUAAAGAGCCUCAGUUUCAUUCAAAGUGCAGGACAGAUGUUCCCGAUUACCUCACCGUGUUGUUAAGAGCCCCCCAGAGAA